GACAGAGGUCCCGAGCGUUAGGCGGAAUCACUGGGCUUAAAGCGUGUGUAGGCGGAUUUGUAAGUACCUUGUGAAAUCCCACGGCUUAACCGUGGAACGGCUGGGUAUACUGCGAAUCUUGGGCCAUCUAGGGGCUACUGGAACAAACGGUGGAGCGGUGAAAUGCGUAGAUAUCGUUUGGAACGCCAAUGGUGAAAACAAGUAGCUGGGGAUGUGCCGACGCUGAGACACGAAAGCCAGGGGAGCGAACGGG
rnacentral:rRNA from 1 species